rnacentral:rRNA from 1 species
UACGAAGGGGACUAGCGUUGUUCGGAAUCACUGGGCGUAAAGCGCACGUAGGCGGAUUUGUAAGUCAGGGGUGAAAUCCCGGGGCUCAACCUCGGAACUGCCUUUGAUACCGCGAAUCUUGAGUCCGAUAGAGGUGGGUGGAAUUCCUAGUGUAGAGGUGAAAUUCGUAGAUAUUAGGAAGAACACCAGUGGCGAAGGCGGCCCACUGGAUCGGUACUGACGCUGAGGUGCGAAAGCGUGGGGAGCAAACAGG